GUUUAUGUGUAUGUAAGGGAUGCAGUGUGUGUGUCUGUAAGGGCUGCAUUAAUUGUCUCUAAGGGGUGAAUUGAGUGUGUGCAAGAGAAGCAGUGUGUGUUUCUGUGUGUGUGUGUAAGGGAUGCAUUGUGUGUUUCUGUGUGUAAGGGAUACAGUGUGUGUGUGUGUGUGUGUGUAAGGGAUGCAUUGUGUGUUUCUGUGUAUG